rnacentral:rRNA from 1 species
AACGAACGCUGGCGGCAUGCCUAACACAUGCAAGUCGAACGAGACCUUCGGGUCUAGUGGCGCACGGGUGCGUAACGCGUGGUAACUUGCCCUUAGGUUCGGUAUAACUCCCUGAAAGGGGUGCUAAUACCGGAUAAUGUCUUCGGACCAAAGAUUUAUCGCCUUUGGGUGGGCCCGCGUUGGAUUUUCUAGUUGGUAGGGUAAAAGCCUACCAAGGCGACGAUCCAUAGCUGGUCUGAGAGGAUGAUCAGCCACACUGGGACUGAGACACGACCCAGACUCCUACGGGAGGCAGCAGUGGGGAAUAUUGGACAAUGAGCGAAAGCCUGAUCCAGCGAUGCCGCGUGAGUGAUGAAGGCCUUAGAAUAGUAAAGCUCUUUUACCCGAGAUGAUAAUGACAGUACCGGGAGAAUAAGCUCCGGCUAACUCCGUG